rnacentral:rRNA from 1 species
UUAUCUGGUUGAUCCUGCCAGUAGUCAUACGCUCGUCUCAAAGAUUAAGCCAUGCAUGUGUAAGUAUAAAUAGUUAACUUUGAAACUGCGAAUGGCUCAUUAUAUCAGUUAUAGUUUAUUUGAUGAAGAAUAAUAAUUGGAUAACCGUAGUAAUUCUAGAGCUAAUACAUGUAUAAAGUCUUGUAGACUGCAUUUAUUAGAAUGAAAACCAUAGGUUUCGGCCUAUUCGUGAGUAAUAAUAACUAAUCAUAUCGUAUGCUUAUGUAACGAUGUGUCUUUCAAGUUUCUGCCCUAUCAGCUUUCGAUGGUAGUGUAUUGGCCUCCCAUGGCAGUAACGGGUAACGAAGAAUUUGGGUUCGAUUUCGGAGAGGGAGCCUGAGAGAUGGCUACCACAUCCAAGGAAGGCAGCAGGCGCGUAAAUUACCCAAUCCUGACGCAGGGAGGUAGUGACAAUAAAUCACAAUGCGGCUCAAUGUUUUGCAAUUGGAUUGAGUACAACGUACAACCCUUAUCGAUAAACAAUUGGAGGGCAAGUCUGGUGCCAGCAGCCGCGGUAAUCCAGCUCCA